GGGGAAUAUUGGGCAAUGGGCGAAAGCCUGACCCAGCGACGCCGCGUGAGGGAAGAAGGUCUUCGGAUUGUAAACCUCUGUUGACAGGGACGAAGGCGGGGAACCGCGUGACGGUACCUGUCGAGGAAGCCACGACUAACUACGUGCCAGCAGUCGCGGUAAUACGUAGGUGGCGAGCGUUAUCCGGAUUUACUGGGUGUAAAGGGUGUGUAGGCGGAGAUGCAAGUCAGGUGUGAAAUUCAUGGGCUCAACUCAUGAACUGCGCCUGAAACUGUGUCCCUUGAGUGUCGGAGGGGUAAACGGAAUUCCCGGUGUAGCGGUGAAAUGCGUAGAGAUCGGGAGGAACAUCGGUGGCGAAGGCGGUUUACUGGACGACAACUGACGCUGAGACACGAAAGCGUGGGGAGCAAAC
rnacentral:rRNA from 1 species